CCAUUAUGACAAGUGAUGUUGAGCAUCUUUCAUGAGUCUCUUGGCCAUCUGUAUGUCUUCUUUGGAAAGAUGUCUACUUGGGUCCUCUGCCCAGUUUUUCAUCAUAAUCCAUAUUGAAUCCCGAAACACUGGUAAAGCAGUAAUUUGCCACAUGGUCCUCCCUGCCUGUGAACUUAACUAUGUGUAGGUGAAUGUUUAUCUAAUUAUCGAUUCAGCUAGGUUACUUGCAAAUUGAUAACCAAACAGAAGAUUGAAUUUUAAUUUAAUUUGGAACCAUAAUUGCAGCCCAAAAUUCAGAAAAAAUUAUUACAUUGGGAUGCAACACUGAAGUGAAAAGCAUUAGGUUCAGAAGAGCAUAACAUAGAUCUGCAAGAUGAGAAUUUAUAAACUGAGCAAAUAUUUGUUGCUGGAGCAUUAUCUUCAUAUUUUUAAAGCAUCAACCAAGUGACUUAUAAUACCUAAUUAGAGAAAAAUACACACGGAUAUAAAGAUGAGUUUCAUUUUCUCAUUGAGACAUCUGAAAAAGGAUUGCUGGUCAUACUCCAGACAAUGCAAUUAAGGAUGGGAGAAAUUGCCAAAUCCCUUGGAACAGAACGCACAAUUUUCAAAGCUAGGAAAGUUUGCUGUGAUGAUUCAUACAUCAUGAAUAUCUAUGUCUCAGAUACUGAGCAUGUAACUUUCAAAGGCUUCCAGCUGACUUCCAAGAGAAGCUGUUAACUUCCAGAGAUACAUAAGUCUUUUAGGGAGAAAAGGAAACCUUCAAUUUAACUAAAUAGGAAAUGUAGAUGAAAUCUUGAUAUUCUUUGAUACGCCAAAAAUUAUAAAGUCAAUCCUAAAUGUGCUAAAGCAGUCAGGAUCAUGAGCAUAGAAUAUAAAAAGCAGUAUUUUUCUGUUAUGUAACUGCAUAUGCCUGGAAGCGAUUCAGGAGAAGAUUUGGAUCCUGAAUUAUUAAGAACAUUUGUAUAUUCUCCAGGGGCAGGAAGCCUUAUUACAUAGCUGAUGUCCAGAGGCCUCUAGCCUAUAAAUAGGAUGUCUCACUUGUCUCCUAAAUUCUAACAAUGAGCUAAAGGAGGAGAGCAAGAGCUAAAGGAGGAGCAAGAAGGAGAUGCUAAGAGGAGAGAAGUGAAUAAAUGGCCUCUAAUAUUUGAGAGUCUGCCAGAAGAGACAGCAAAAAGACAUUGAAAUAAGCAUUGAACUAGAUCCCGGAAGAUGUGCUGGCAGCUUCGAGUCUGAGUGUGGAGAUAGAAAAGGGAAAAAAAAAAUGAAAGAAAAGAAAAAAAAAGUUGCUUCCUGCUCCAGUACUAUAGCAUAACACUUGUCACACUAAAUGACCAUUAGCUGUUUACUUACUAUUUUUUUUUAUUGCCAGCACUUUUCUGAAUUCUAGGCUGCUUUUACAAUAAAACAAAGUUUCUGUCCUCACAGAGUUUACAUUCUGGGGUGGAUGGAAUAGACAGAACAAAUAAAUGUAAUUUCCGUUAAUCAAUAACAGGCUUGGAAUUGUGGAUUGUUCACUAUGGUGCCUACACCAGUGUCCGGUCCACACUGGACAUUCAAUAACUGUGAAAUAAAUGAAUUACCAAUGAAUAAGUGAAUGUAUGCCACAAAGUGACAGGAAAGGCAGUUCUGCUUGUACAUGACAGUCAAGAA